UAUGUCUAUUAAUUGAUUUGUCCUUGGAGCCGGAUCGUUUUCUCUUAAAGAUGGUUGCAUGUUAUUUACUUGUCUGCUAUUGUUGUCGAUAUUAAAUGAAGCCUCGAAAAAAUUGCUUGAAACUGAAGUUCUGUAUGCAUUUAAAAUGAAGACUCCAAUUCUCCAUCGGAAUCUGCAUCGGACAUUACGUUCGAGUUUCGAUUAGAAACUAGCAACCCCCUAUGCUCCCUACAAUGUUCUAGCAGGAAGUUGUUUGAAACUUCUUCCAAGGUCUGCCGGUAAAUCCAUUGCAUGGAACAUGGAUAUUCAGAAGAUGUACGAUUAUCGAGAUGGGAGCAAAGUGGGAUCAACUGAGCUCUUCAGUCUGAAAUGAAACUAGAUGGCCUUGCCAUCUUUUUGUGCCUUUUUCAAACCGCAUGAACCAGCUGUACCGUAUGAAAUGCUCUUUAGAAUUGAAUUUUCUUCAACUGCGGAUUAAUGGUUAUAUAUAUUUGAAGUUUAAAAUGGCAAAUAAGCUCUCGCAGUUGUCUUGAUAAUUGAAUCUUCUAUAUUCGAUAUUGUAAUUGUCAAGUUUUUUCUUCAAAUAAACCAAAAUGUAA